CAAUGAUUGUGUUCACAACCUUGUGUGUGGUGUUCCUAGCCCUUACCAAAGGCAGUCUUCAUCACAUAUUCAUCUGGUGGCACUGAUGGUGAUCUGCAGGUCUCUUGCACUGGCUUGCCACCUGUUACCAUAACUGCCCAACCAACUACUGCCACAACUACUGGAGCAUCUGUGGUGUGUGGAAGUGCCAAGCUCAAUUUUACAGUAUUUCGGGAAAAGCAAACAGCACCUUGGCAUCAGCAGGUAGAUGGCCGUGGAUGGUCAGCCUGCAGAUUAACUCUACUCACAUUUGUGGUGGAACACUGAUAGCUCAGCAGUUCGCCAUAAGCUCAGUUGAUUGUUUCUCUAGCUCAGCCAAACUCUCUGACUGGACCGUGAAACUGAGUGAAACGAGGUCUCUGUUGCCGUGGCUGAUAUCACAUUCAGCACAAGUGCCAGCAAUAACAUAGCUGUGGUAAAGUUAUCCACCACUCCUACAAUGUCCAACUUCCUUCGGCCCAUUUGUGUGAACCUGGGAACUACUGUACCAGCUUCAACACUGGCACUUAGUGCUGAAAAGCUGGCUGGAGCUCAGAAGGUGAAGCCCAGCAAACACUUCAGCAGUUCAACACGACUAUAGUGGAUUGUGGAACUGUGUCUCCAUCAAUCAUCUGCAUAGCAGCCAUACCAUUAGAACAGGGUGAAAAGGGAGGUCCUCUAAUGUGUCUGUCAUGGUUCCAGGCUGCUGUUUUAACCCUUGACAACAAGCGCAUCACUAAGUCUAC